GCCUUCAAGUGGAGCGUGGGGACCAUGUGCUCAUUAAGGUCCACGCUGAACUUGGAAAUUCUCAAGUUUAGCGUGGAUGAGACAGUGGCUUCUUCUUUG